AGUAGUGUUGAAGUGGUCACCACUUCUAAGAAAACUCUACAUCUGGCUUUUUUAGUUUUCUCAAGCACUGAAACCACCGACAGCGUAUAAACAAAAGACUGGGACGAAGGCAGACCAUAAACAGUGGACAGACGACGUUGGCUUCAGGGUUUUUUAGUUAUGGGUAACACUGCUAGCGUGCGAAUCUGGACCAGCUCAAAUUGUAUUGCUACUUGUAAUUACACUUCUGUAUUAAAAUAUAUUUUCUACCUUACAAUUU